GGGAAGGGAGCUGGCAGUGAUGAGCAGCCUUAUGGAGAGGCAAUGUGAAAAGGAAGAGAAGCCUUUGGCCAUCUGCCAACAAGGAACUGAAUGAACUUGGAAGUGGGUUCUCCAGCCACAGCUUAGUCUUCUGAUGCUGGCAACACUGGUUGGUACUUGAUUGCAUUCUCAGUAGAGAUCCUGAGCCAGCACCUCCCAGUUAACCCACUGGGGACGGAGGACACUGAGCAUCACUGAAGGCCCAAAGCUACCCCUUCAGCCUCACCCUCACCAUGUCCUGCCUCUGGAGCCAUACUGCAGCUCCACCGAGCUAAUGGAAAUUUCCUCAGCCUGCCAAGAGCUUUCUGUGUACUGAGCCUUUAUCUCUGCAGUUUCUUCAGCCUGGACACCUUUCCAAACUUCUCCACCAGGUGCGUUCCUACUACUCAUCUUUCAAGACUCAGAUGAGAUGCCCCACUUGUAGGAUGCCACUCCUGACCUGGUCCAAGGCCUCCUACUUCUCUUGAUUAUUGCUCCUGCCUCCUGCCUGAGCUCCUGGCCUCUAGCUUCUCUCUUCCACUCAAAACCCCCAUGGAGCAGCCACCUGCCUUUCUAAAACACAAAUCUUGUCAUGUCACUCCCUGCUUCAAAUAACUAGUCAAUGGAAUAAUCCAUUAAUCAAUGCUUCAAGGGCUCCUCUUUGCCCUCAGGAAGGCAUCCAAAGCCUUCAGCUGGAACUCAAGGCUUGGUCCGCUCUGUCUCUCCUGACUGUCCUGCCCACACGGUACACUGUUCUUGUCAUCAUGUCUCCGACACCCUGUGCUACCUUUGCUCAUCCUGUUCUUUCCCUUGCCUGGUACCCUCUUCUCUACCUGGGAACCCCUACCUAAUCUUUAGGGUCAAGUCUGCUAUUUUCUAUUUUCCCUGCUAGGAACCCUUUUCAGCUGGGCCCAGGAAGAGCCCAUGGUUUCUUUUUGUUCCCUUUCCUAGGUGACUACGUGUGUGUGUGUGUGUGUGUGUG
rnacentral:lncRNA from 1 species